CCUACGUGUGGCAGCAGUAGGGCAUCUUCCACAAUGGGCGAAAGCCUGAUGGAGCAACGCCGCGUGGGUGCAGAAGGUCUUCGGAUCGUAAAACCCUGUUGUUAGAGAAGAAAGUGCGUGAGAGUAACUGUUCACGUUUCGACGGUAUCUAACCAGAAAGCCACGGCUAACUACGUGCCAACAGCCGCGGUAAUACGUAGGUUGCAAGCGUUAUCCGGAAUUAUUGGGCGUAAAGCGAACGCAGGCGGUCUGUUAAGUCUGAUGUGAAAUCCUUGGGCUUAACCGGAGUAGUGCAUCGGAAACUGGGAGACUUGAGUGCAGAAGAGGAGAGUGGAACUCCAUGUGUAGCGGUGAAAUGCGUAGAUAUAUGGAAGAAAACCAGUGGCGAAAGCGGCUCUCUGGUCUGUAACUGACGCUGAGGUUCGAAAGCGUGGGUAGCAAACAGGAUUAGAUACCCUAGUAGUC
rnacentral:rRNA from 1 species